rnacentral:rRNA from 1 species
UACGAAGGGGGCUAGCGUUGCUCGGAAUUACUGGGCGUAAAGCGCACGUAGGCGGCUUUUUAAGUCGGAGGUGAAAUCCUGGAGCUCAACUCCAGAACUGCCUUCGAUACUGAAGAGCUCGAGUCCGGGAGAGGUGAGUGGAACUGCGAGUGUAGAGGUGAAAUUCGUAGAUAUUCGCAAGAACACCAGUGGCGAAGGCGGCUCACUGGCCCGGUACUGACGCUGAGGUGCGAAAGCGUGGGAAGCAAACAGG